UUCUGAUUUCUGUCAUAUAGUAAAUUAUUUAUGGAUUACUUAUUUACAUUAAAUUGUGUGUUAUACCCCAAAAAAUUUGCUAUCCACCGACUACAUAAUCUAACAACAAUUUUCUCUCACAAAAUAUACAUGGAUACAAAAAGGAAUAACGCCAAGUUGGUUCCUUUUUUUUUUGUACUUGUUGGGCAACUGGCAAAACUACGACUAAAGUCAAACAUUUUCAAUAAAACUGCAAAAAUUAUUUGUCAUCUAGGAGGAGAGAGAGACAGAGAGGGAGUGAAAGAGUAAGAGAAAGCAGAGGAAAGGGCAAGGGAAAAGAACACUCCAACUACAUUCUAUAUCUACAAGCAUUUACCGGAAAGAAGCGAAAUGGUUGAGGAAUGGGAAUAUGGAUAACCACACCACGUAGUUGGUUCCCAAGCAUCCCAAGCUUAGCUUCUGCACACGUUUCAAGUUUUCACUUUAACUGCAAAUCAAAAUGUCUCCCACUGGUUCAUUGUGUGCCCCCCUUUUUGGCUCAGCUUCACCUUUUUGGUGGCACAAAUAGACAUUGUUGACUUUGCAUAA